AACUAGGCAGCAUCAGAUGUAUUUUGUUUCGGCCAAAAAGAUGGAUUUUCCCCUAGUUU
rnacentral:tRNA from 1 species